rnacentral:rRNA from 1 species
GGAGGAAAAGAAACUAACAAGGAUUCCCCUAGUAACGGCGAGUGAAGCGGGAAGAGCUCAAAUUUGUAAUCUGGCCCUUUCAGGGUCCGAGUUGUAAUCUCGAGAAGUGUUUUCCGCGCCGGACCGCAUACAAGUCUGUUGGAAUACAGCGUCAUAGUGGUGAGAGCCCCGUAAUUGAUGUGGAUGCCCGGUGCUUUGUGAUACACUUUCGAAGAGUCGAGUUGUUUGGGAAUGCAGCUCAAAUUGGGUGGUAAAUUCCAUCUAAAGCUAAAUAUUGGCGAGAGACCGAUAGCGAACAAGUACCGUGAGGGAAAGAUGAAAAGCACUUUGGAAAGAGAGUUAACAGUACGUGAAAUUGUUGGAAGGGAAACGCUUGAAGUCAGACUUGCUAUUCGGAAUUCAGCCGCAAGGUGUACUUUUCGAUUUGCAGGCCAGCAUCAGUUUUUGGGGGUGGAAAAGGGUGGAGAGAAGGUAGCAACCUUGGUUGUGUUAUAGCUCUUUACUGGAUUCAUCUUUGGGGACUGAGGAUCGCAGUGCGCAAUUUACUUUGCAAACCUUUCGAGGUUUUCGUACUUAGGAUGCUGGUGGAAUGGCUUUAAACGACCCGUCUUGAA